GGGAAUUUGGNNGUGGGCGCAAGCCUGGAUCCAGCCAUGCCGCGUGCGGGAAGAAGGCCUUCGGGUUGUAAACCGCUUUUGUCAGGGAAGAAACGCUCUGGGUUAAUACCUCGGGGUAAUGACGGUACCUGAAGAAUAAGCACCGGCUAACUACGUGCCAGCAGCCGCGGUAAUACGUAGGGUGCAAGCGUUAAUCGGAAUUACUGGGCGUAAAGCGUGCGCAGGCGGUUAUGCAAGACAGAGGUGAAAUCCCCGGGCUCAACCUGGGAACUGCCUUUGUGACUGCAUGGCUAGAGUACGGUAGAGGGGGAUGGAAUUCCGCGUGUA
rnacentral:rRNA from 1 species